rnacentral:lncRNA from 10 species
GGGGUACCAAAGUCCACUCUGAGCUUUUCCUCUGGGAACAGAUCCCAGAUUAUUCCAGACUUAAGACAUGGAGAUAUAUCUUGCUAGAGGUAGGAAGAUGAUAAGAUCAGUUUCUAUAGGUAGAGGAUAAUGUGUCCUAAAAUGUAGGUAGAGAUAAGUCUGACAGUGGUUUAGACAAAAAGGGCCUCUGCUAAUGGUGGAGAGAUCAAGGAAGAAAAGAGCAACGUUAAAGUGAGGCUGUACCCACAGAUCAUGCUCAAGCAAAUUCGAACCGUGAGCGCAUUUCUCUUAAACAAUGAACACUUAGAAUAAAAAUUAAAAUUUCCCACAAAUUUCUAAUUUUAAAAUAGUUUCCCAAGAUUUCAGUGGUAUUGUAUAUAUGCCCAUAUAAUUUUUUGGAUUACUAUUCCCACAAGUGUAAGAUGAAAGAGGACCUGCCCUCCAUUCUAUCUACUCCCUCUCUGCAAAGGCCAUUUUGAAGAUCUCAGUUUUACUGAAAGGGGUCUGCCACACAUAACUUCCCUGGUGUACCAGCAACAAGUGUUCAGUGGACCAUGGCAACACAAAGAAUGACGGAGGAGAGAAAAUGCCAUGCAGAAGUGAUAGUCAAGAUGAAGAUGUGGGAGAGGAGCAGCCCCCAGUAUAUAUUCAGUGUGUCCUCUGAAGUAACAACCAUCCCAUCUGGCUGAGAAGUGAUGGACACGGCUCCUUAACCACACUGUACCCUCUGUUCUUGGCACCUCUCUACCAGAAAGAUAUCAACAAAUUGGAUGGAAUUCAGAGAACAGUAAGAAAAAUGAUUAAAGAGAUGGAGGCAGUGACUUAUGAGGAAAGAUGAAAAGGACUAAAUCUAUGUAGCUUGGCAAAGCAACAACUGAGGUGGCGUAUGAAAACUGUCUACAAGCAUUUGAAGAAUAUAAACACCAAGGGAAGAGAGGGAACUUUUUAGAAUGGUCUGGGGAAUAAGCAGAGUAAGAGGACAGAAUUGAAGAAAGGAGAGAGAUAUGCUAAGUUGGGGGUGGGGGCGUUUUCUCAUCAAUUGUAAAUUUUGAUAAAUAACAAAAUUAAGUCUGGAGAGAAAGAGUUGCAUCUCAUGCUUUUAGGUUACAAUCAGUGUUGACCUGCACUGAGAAAAUGUGACUUCCUAUUAUCCUUCUCAAAGUUAUUGCUGCAGAGGAAAGAAGCAUACAUCUUUUACCCACCAGGAAACCCCCAAAGCAUCUAUUACCAUAAUAGCCAUGGGAAACAGAAGGCACCUCAAAUAAAGGUGGGGAAAAGAAUGAAAGAAAUGGCUUUGGCCUGUGCCUGUUUGACCUCUGAGAGAUACUUUUUGCAAGAAAUUGUUAAGUUUUGGCCCAAAAAGUGGUCGGUCUUUUAUCCUUCCUUGUGGAGGCCAAACUGCAAACCAGGAUGAAGAAACCAUCAGUGGCAGUUUGGGGAGGUGGAGGAGGGACUAUCUAGACUCAGUGAAUCACCAAGGAAACAUGAGGCCUAUUUCUCUGUGAAGCUGAACUUCAAAAAACAAUCUAAGAGAUACAAAGGGAAAAGUGUGACUGCUCUGACAGCAAAAACAAGCAAAUAUCUCCAGAGGGGAUUAAUCCUUCUGCUUCAAAGUAACUAAAACAAAGAAAGCUGAGCCAGCUUCACUGGAAACAACACCUGUCCAUCAGACAAGGAUGAGCUAAUCAAAAGAAAACACUGCCUAUGUGCACGACUCAGCAGCCUGGACAGCUAAUACCAAGGAACACGUUUUCACUAUAAAGAUUCAGCUUUCAAAAUCCAGUUCCCUCUUGUAGAGCCACAGGGUUAAAAGGGACCUUAGAGAUCAUCUACAUACAGGCCAAACCCUCAAUGAAUGCCAGUGUUCGCCUUAUGUUCUUCUUGCCGGACUCUUUUCUGGCCUCUGUUCUGUCAGGAUGUUUCCUGUUUUGCAAAACAGCUUUAAUCCUUGAGUAUAUUUAAUUGUUAGAAAACAGUUCCUCAAAUUUGACCCCAAAUUUAAGUCUAAUUUAUGAAGAAAGUUUUGCCUUUGGAGACAGGUUUAAUUUUACUUCCAUGUGGAAAACCUUCAAAUAAAAUGAUGACUAUUGUGUACUCACGAA